rnacentral:rRNA from 1 species
AAUCGGCGUAAAGAGUGGUUAGAGGAAAUACAAACUAAAGCUAAAUGCUCUCUUAACUGUUAUACGUUCUCGAGAAUAAGAAGCCCCCCUACGAAAGUGACUUUAUUCAUCUUGACCCCACGAAAACUGUGAUACAAACUGGGAUUAGAUACCCCACUAUGCACAGCCACAAACCUUGGUAGCCCCCCCCACAUAGGCUACCCGCCAGGAACUACGAGCAGAAGCUUAAAACCCAAAGGACUUGGCGGUGCUUGAGAUCCACCUAGAGGAGCCUGUUCUAGAACCGAUAACCCUCGUUUAACCUCACCCCCUUUUCUUUCCCGCCUAUAUACCGCCGUCGUCAGCCUACCCUAUGAAGGAAUACGUAGUAAGCAAACCAGCCC